rnacentral:rRNA from 1 species
GACGAACGCUGGCGGCGUGCCUAAUACAUGCAAGUCGAGCGGACCGAAGGGAGCUUGCUCCUUUAGGUUAGCGGCGGACGGGUGAGUAACACGUGGGCAACCUGCCCUGCAGACUGGGAUAACUUCGGGAAACCGGAGCUAAUACCGGAUAACACCGAAAACCGCAUGGUUUUCGGUUGAAAGGCGGCAUUAGCUGUCACUGCAGGAUGGGCCCGCGGCGCAUUAGCUAGUUGGUGAGGUAACGGCUCACCAAGGCGACGAUGCGUAGCCGACCUGAGAGGGUGACCGGCCACACUGGGACUGAGACACGGCCCAGACUCCUACGGGAGGCAGCAGUAGGGAAUCUUCCGCAAUGGACGAAAGUCUGACGGAGCAACGCCGCGUGAGCGAAGAAGGUCUUCGGAUCGUAAAGCUCUGUUGCCAGGGAAGAACAAGUACCGUUCGAACAGGGCGGUACCUUGACGGUACCUGACGAGGAAGCCACGGCUAACUACGUGCCAGCAGCCGCGGUAAUACGUAGGUGGCAAGCGUUGUCCGGAAUUAUUGGGCGUAAAGCGCGCGCAGGCGGUUCCUUAAGUCUGAUGUGAAAUCUCGCGGCUCAACCGCGAGCGGCCAUUGGAAACUGGGGAACUUGAGUGCAGGAGAGGGGAGCGGAAUUCCACGU